rnacentral:rRNA from 1 species
UACGGGGGGGGCAAGCGUUGUUCGGAAUUACUGGGCGUAAAGGGCGCGUAGGCGGCCUUCUAAGUCGGACGUGAAAUCCCUCGGCUUAACCGAGGAACUGCGUCCGAUACUGAAAGGCUUGAAUCCGGGAGAGGGAGGUGGAAUUCCAGGUGUAGCGGUGAAAUGCGUAGAUAUCUGGAGGAACACCGGUGGCGAAGGCGGCAUCCUGGACCGGCAUUGACGCUGAGGCGCGAAAGCUAGGGGAGCAAACGGG